rnacentral:SRP_RNA from 1 species
CAAUCAUCCUUAUCCAAUAGGUGAUAAUGAAUCAGGUCAGGUCGGGAACGAAGCAGCCUUAAAUUUUUUAUCUAUGUGGGUAAGGGUGCUUGAUA